CCUACGGGUGGCAGCAGUGAGGAAUAUUGGUCAAUGGGCGCGAGCCUGAACCAGCCAAGUAGCGUGAAGGAUGACUGCCCUACGGGUUGUCCACUUCUUUUAUAAAGGAAUACAGUGAGGCACGUGUGCCUUUUUGUAUGUACUUUAUGAAUAAGGCUCGGCUAACUCCGUGCCAGCAGCCGCGGUAAUACGGAGGAUUCGAGCGUUAUCCGGAUUUAUUGGGUUUAAAGGGAGCGUAGAUGGGAUGUUAAGUCAGUUGUGAAAGUUUGCGGCUCAACCGUAAAAUUGCAAUUGAUACUGGCAGCCUUGAGUACAGUUGAGGUAGGCGGAAUUCGUGGUGUAGCGGUGAAAUGCGUAGAUAUCACGAAGAACUCCGAUGGCGAAGGCAGCUUACUAAACUGCCACUGACAUUGAUGCUCGAAAGUGUGGGUAGCAAACAGGAUUAGAUACCCCAGUAGUC
rnacentral:rRNA from 1 species